rnacentral:snoRNA from 15 species
AAUGAAUGAUGACAAAAUGUUUCGGUCCCAAAUGAUACAUAAUGAUUAUACCAUUGCAUUUUUUCUGACAUU